GCUUUGAGCCUUAUAUGGAUAACAUACAAAAAUCCAUCUCUUUCUUUCUUGUGUGAUUCACUCAUGUCUGUUGGUCUCUAGAACUUGAAUUGACUCUUGUUGAUGUUGUUUACUUGUGAACACUGAUAUGAUAAAGGCAAUUUUGUUUUCUUUUGUUUUUUUAGCCAGUUAGCAAAAAAGUCAACCCUAAAAUAAUUGCAUCCCUUGUUUGAAACCCCCUUGAGCCUAUUAUCCUUUUUUUAUUUAAAACUCAUUACAAGCCGAGAAGUGAAAAACAAUGUUAUCACCCUAUUCAAAGGAUUGAAAGAGUCUUGUUUGGAGUUGUGUGGGGUUGAAUAAUUAUAUUUGUAAUAUUUCAGAAGUUGACCUAAAAAGAAAAAAAUAUAGAAAAGAAAAAAAAGGAAUGAAAAAAUAGAAGGAUAGGAGGAAGAAAAAAUAGAAGGAUAAGAGGAAGAAAAAAAGGAAUUAUGUUUGUAAUAUUUCAAUACAUGUCACUACAUACUCCUUCAAAAAAAAAGAAUAAAAAGAGGAAGGAGAAGAGAAAACAA
rnacentral:lncRNA from 1 species